rnacentral:rRNA from 1 species
GACGAACGCUGGCGGCGUGCUUAACACAUGCAAGUCGAACGGAAAGGCCCUGCUUUUGUGGGGUGCUCGAGUGGCGAACGGGUGAGUAACACGUGAGUAACCUGCCCUUGACUUUGGGAUAACUUCAGGAAACUGGGGCUAAUACCGGAUAGGAGCUCCUGCUGCAUGGUGGGGGUUGGAAAGUUUCGGCGGUUGGGGAUGGACUCGCGGCUUAUCAGCUUGUUGGUGGGGUAGUGGCUUACCAAGGCUUUGACGGGUAGCCGGCCUGAGAGGGUGACCGGCCACAAUGGGACUGAGGUACGGCCCAGACUCCAACGGGAGGCAGCAGUGGGGAAUAUUGCACAAUGGGCGGAAGCCUGAUGCAGCAACGCCGCGUGCGGGAUGACGGCCUUCGGGGUGUAAACCGCUUUCGCCUGUGACGAAGCGUGAGUGACGGUAAUGGGUAAAGAAGCACCGGCUAACUACGUG